GACACGUGAAAUCCUGUCUGAAUAUGGGGGGACCAUCCUCCAAGGCUAAAUACUCGUUGUCGACCGAUAGUGAACCAGUACCGUGAGGGAAAGGCGAAAAGAACCCUGGUGAAGGGAGUGAAAUAGAACCUGAAACCGUGUGCAUACAAGCAGUCAGAGCAUAUAAAGAUAUGUGAUGGCGUACCUUUUGUAUAAUGGGUCAGCGAGUUACAUUCAGUGGCGAGGUUAACCGGAUAGGGGAGCCGUAGCGAAAGCGAGUCUUAAUAGGGCGAUAAGUCUCUGGGUGUAGACCCGAAACCGGGCGAUCUAUCCAUGGGCAGGUUGAAGGUUGAGUAACAUCAACUGGAGGACCGAACCCACGCAUGUUGAAAAAUGCGGGGAUGACCUGUGGAUAGGAGUGAAAGGCUAAACAAGCUCGGAGAUAGCUGGUUCUCCCCGAAAACUAUUGAGGUAGUGCCUUGUAGAUUGACUUGCGGGGGUAGAGCACUGUUUCGGCUAGGGGGUCAUACCGACUUACCAACCCGAUGCAAACUCCGAAUACCGCAAAGUUUUACUACAGGAGACACACGGCGGGUGCUAACGUCCGUCGUGAAGAGGGAAACAACCCAGACCGCCAGCUAAGGUCCCGAAAUGACAGUUCAGUGGGAAACGAAGUGGGAAGGCUUAGACAGCUAGGAGGUUGGCUUAGAAGCAGCCAUCCUUUAAAGAAAGCGUAAUAGCUCACUAGUCGAGUCGUCCUGCGCGGAAGAUUUACCGGGGCUAAACUGUCUACCGAAGCUGCGGAUUUGCAUGAAAAUGCAAGUGGUAGGGGAGCGUUGUGUAAGCUGAUGAAGGUGUGUUGAGAAGCAUGCUGGAGGUAUCACAAGUGCGAAUGCUGACAUGAGUAACGAUAAUGCGGGUGAAAAACCCGCACACCGAAAACCCAAGGUUUCCUGCGCAACGCUAAUCGGCGCAGGGUGAGUCGGCCCCUAAGGCGAGGCGGAAACGCGUAGUCGAUGGGAAACAGGUUAAUAUUCCUGUACUGAUCAUAAUUGCGAUGGGGGGACGGAGAAAGCUAGGCCAGCACACUGUUGGAUGUGUGUUUAAACGCGUAGGUUGGGGACUUAGGCAAAUCCGGGUUUCUAAGACUGAAACGUGAUGACGAGUUUCUACGGAAACGAAGUGGUUGAUGCUCUGCUUCCAGGAAAAGCCUCUAAGCUUCAGAUUAUGACAACCGUACCCCAAACCGACACAGGUGGGUAGGAAGAGAAUUCCAAGGUGCUUGAGAGAACUCGGGUAAAGGAACUCGGCAAAAUGAUACCGUAACUUCGGGAUAAGGUAUGCCUCUGACGGUGCAUAGCUGUUGGAGGCCGCAGAGAAUAGGCCGCUGCGACUGUUUAUCAAAAACACAGCACUCUGCAAACACGCAAGUGGACGUAUAGGGUGUGACGCCUGCCCGGUGCCGGAAGGUUAAUUGAUGGGGUGCAAGCUCUUGAUCGAAGCCCCGGUAAACGGCGGCCGUAACUAUAACGGUCCUAAGGUAGCGAAAUUCCUUGUCGGGU
rnacentral:rRNA from 1 species